rnacentral:rRNA from 1 species
AACAAACGCUGGCGGCGUGCCUAACACAUGCAAGUCGUACGUGAAAAUCCGCUUCGGUGGAUGAGUAAAGUGGCGCACGGGGGAGUAACGCGUGGAUAAUCUGCCCUUUAGUUUGGGAUAACUCAUCGAAAGGUGGGCUAAUACCGGAUGAUGCGGUUGUUACAUCGGUUGGACAGCCAAAGGGGGCCUCUAUUUAUAAGCUCUUCCUGAAGGAUGAGUCCGCGUACCAUUAGCUUGUUGGCAGGGUAAAAGCCUACCAAGGCGACGAUGGUUAGCUGGUCUGAGAGGAUGAUCAGCACACUGGAACUGAGAUACGGUCCAGACUCCUACGGGAGGCAGCAGUGAGGAAUCUUGCGCAAUGGGGGAAACCCUGACGCAGCAACGCCGCGUGAGUGAGGAAGGUCUUCGGAUCGUAAAGCCCUGUCGGGUGGAAAGAAAUGCAUGGAGGCUAAUACCUUUCAUGCUUGACGGUACCACCGGAGGAAGCACCGGCUAACUCCGUGCCAGCCGCCGCUGUAA